GAUGAACGCUGGGCGGCGUGCUUAACACAUGCAAGUCGAACGAAGCACUUCUCUUUGAUUCUUCGGAUGAAGAGAGUUGUGACUGAGUGGCGGACGGGUGAGUAACGCGUGGGUAACCUGCCUCAUACGGGGGGAUAACAGUUAGAAAUGACUGCUAAUACCGCAUAAGACCACAGGACCGCAUGGUCCGGUGGUAAAAACUCCGGUGGUAUGAGAUGGACCCGCGUCUGAUUAGCUAGUUGGUAAGGUAACGGCUUACCAAGGCGACGAUCAGUAGCCGACCUGAGAGGGUGACCGGCCACAUUGGGACUGAGACACGGCCCAAACUCCUACGGGAGGCAGCAGUGGGGAAUAUUGCACAAUGGGGGAAACCCUGAUGCAGCGACGCCGCGUGAGCGAUGAAGUAUUUCGGUAUGUAAAGCUCUAUCAGCAGGGAAGAAUUAAGACGGUACCUGACUAAGAAGCACCGGCUAAAUACGUGCCAGCAGCCGCGGUAAUACGUAUGGUGCAAGCGUUAUCCGGAUUUACUGGGUGUAAAGGGAGCGUAGACGGAGAGGCAAGUCUGAUGUGAAAACCCGGGGCUCAACCCCGGGACUGCAUUGGAAACUGUUUUUCUAGAGUGUCGGAGAGGUAAGUGGAAUUCCUAGUGUAGCGGUGAAAUGCGUAGAUAUUAGGAGGAGCACCAGUGGCGAAGGCGGCUUACUGGACGAUGACUGACGUUGAGGCUCGAAAGCGUGGGGAGCAAACAAGAUUAGAUACCCUGGUAGUCCACGCCGUAAACGAUGGACUUGCUAGGUUUCGGGAGGCAAAGCCUUUCGGUGCCGCAGCAAACGCAAUAAGCAGUCCUCCUGGGGAGUACGUUCGCAAGAAUGAAACUCAAAGGAAUUGACGGGGACCCGCACAAGCGGUGGAGCAUGUGGUUUAAUUCGAAGCAACGCGAAGAACCUUACCUGCCCUUGACAUCCGGCUGACCGGCGAGUAAUGUCGCCCUUCCUUCGGGACAGCCGAGACAGGUGGUGCAUGGUUGUCGUCAGCUCGUGUCGUGAGAUGUUGGGUUAAGUCCCGCAACGAGCGCAACCCUUAUCUUUAGUAGCCAGCAUUUCGGAUGGGCACUCUGGAGAGACUGCCAGGGAUAACCUGGAGGAAGGUGGGGAUGACGUCAAAUCAUCAUGCCCCUUAUGGGCAGGGCUACACACGUGCUACAAUGGCGUAAACAAAGGGAGGCAGACCUGCGAGGGUGAGCAAAUCCCAAAAAUAACGUCUCAGUUCGGAUUGUAGUCUGCAACUCGACUACAUGAAGCUGGAAUCGCUAGUAAUCGCGAAUCAGAAUGUCGCGGUGAAUACGUUCCCGGGUCUUGCACA
rnacentral:rRNA from 1 species